GAUGUCGCGGAUGUCGGUGUGGUUGUGCGCUGCGAUGCGACUUCUUCUUGGCUGUGUGUUUAGUCUGAUUUUGUUAGUCUCUCUCUGUCUUGAUUUGCGUGUGUGUGUGCGCGAUGGAGCAAAAGGAGCGAGCGAGAAAGACAGAGACAGAAGAUGGCAUCCAAGAAGGUUUCGAAUGGCGAACGAUUUGUAAACAAAGCGACCACCCCGGCCGCGGCCGAAGGAUUGUUGUGUGUACGGGCAAUACAAUAUCACCCUCUGUCCCGAAAGCCACCCCUGCCCCUUGUUGUGCCUUCUUCCUCUACGCCCUCCCCGCGAAUGAUGCAGACACCCGCGCCUACCACCGUUUCCGCGCACCGUGCGACAUCCUUCAGCGUGGAACCCAACACGCCACUAAUAGGACGAGAUAGAUGGAGUCACCUCCAUGUAGCCGGGACAGGACAGGGACAGGGUAAAGAGGUAAGAGGAAUUUCUGUCGGACCGCUCGUAAGAUAUGUUAAUUUUUUGCUCCGCCAUUCAUAAAUUUGGAAAUCGUUUCCCACAUAGCAAUAAGGGUUGACCACGAAGCACAUCAUGCCCCGACCAACAACAGCACCAGCAGCAAGCAUAACUUGUUUCAUUUAGUGCACAAAAAAAUGUGACCCAUCCGAGGAUCAACAGGCGGAGCUGGGGUGAAGGUGGGGAGCAAAAAUAAUCAACCCCAGUGCUAAGAACUAUCUUUACCCAAUCGUUCGGAAGCAAUCAAGUGGACCAAUAUCGAAUCUAAGGCGAAGGCAACGAGGCAAAAACAGUGAACCGACACCACGAGGUCUCACCUGAAGCCCUUUUGCGUAAGCCUCCCUCCCCCCCACUCUGUCCACCUUACCCUUACUAUCCAAUCCCCCAAACAGAGUGCUUAUUAGAGAGUUAUCGAACGGGCACAACAAAGCGGCACACAGGCACCGAUUACAAAUUUGCCGUACUUCCUCUCCGUGUUUCGAGCGAAGGACUUUGAAGGGCAGAGGUGCUCGGUGUGCUACCUGGGCUAAUGGGGCAGUGCGUCUGUCCUUCCUACAUGAACACUGUAGUUUUAACACACCACUACGGAGUCAGCACUGGGUGGAAUUUAGCAAACGGAUCGCGGAGCCGGAAUGUCGCUUUAUCGCUCGCUUUAUCAGGGGACAGACCGCCCGCCAUCACAGUCAUAUUGCAGCCGAGCAGUGGUGUCAAGUGUCCGCGAGCUUCCUUACAAUGUGUGUGAAGAGCGCGCUGCUAAGCUCAUCCACCCCGCACGGCACGCCAAGCUAAUGCUAUCAAGCGACGAGGGACGGACUCAGGCCGGCUGCGGAUUGAUUUGUAUUAGAAAGAAGGAAGCGACGAGCAGGAAGAACAAUAAUAAAAACACAACCACUCAUACAGCCUCGUACCACGGACGACGUGAAGACAGGCGGCAUUCAAAGGCAGGCAGGCAGGCAGGCACGCUAAAUCCCGCACAACCGCACCGCCAAUCCAGCUCGCCACGAGAUCUCAGACCACGAGCCGCGAGAGUUCAGUGAAACACAUCCGCCAAGGUCAAACGGUUGUUAGGAGGACCAGACACCACAGCGCGAGCCGAGGCAAAUGUUGUCAAUUUCCGAGAGGCUGGCCCGGUCGAGAUAUGCUAGGAAGGGGGGCGGCCUGGAUUUUAUGGUCAUCUUUAUCGUCCCGUGUGAAAGACACCUCUCUGUCUUUGCCCACCCCGGAGGAACCCUGGGCAGGGGUAGCCAGCGGUAUCUUCGCACUGACGGUUCCUCAAGGGAUGAAAGUGUCCUGAAGAGUGAAUCCUGCGGCGCGUCCCUAACGCCCUUGCAAACGCUGGUCAUUGUAAAAAAAAGCACGCACGAUGGCUUGUGACUUAUCGUUUAUUGGGAGUAGGAGUGUUGGCAAGGAAAUGGGACACGAAUCGGCAACAUAUUGCCGGCAGAUUGCCUUCAGAACAGUGUGUUGGAGUUUUGUCAUUGAGCGACCAGGCAGGGGAUUCGUUGCCCGUAAAUUUGGACCAAUGAGCCCAGGAGCAAACAGUGUACCCGUUGGGCAUGGUAAUCUAUGCAUCCUGGCAGUGUUGCUGGAAGAUGCAAACAGGGAAAGCAAAGGGCAUUUUUAGAAAGUUCGAAACAACAAAGCACUUAAGCCGAAGUAGCUGCUAACCUUUUCUCUUGCAUUUCUCGCCAUUUCUUGCCUGCCUCGAGGGUGGCGUUUUCCCCGGCUCCGCAUGAGACACUGUCCCGUGCGAUCGUCGGCAAACGGUAAGGGCUUUAACUAGGGAUGGAUGUCAAUCUCACGCAGUGGGAAAGCAGUUCGAGUUGUAAAAAUCUCAAGUACCCAGGCACCGUUCGAGGGCGUUUGCAGGGGGAAAUUUUGGUGCCUCAUGAUCGAAUGGAAACACCCGAACUCGCACUCGGAUGGAGUCAUACCCGAUACUUCGGGCGAUACACAAUUCCAUUGAUGGCGGUGUAAUAUAUUGGUCAUUUAAAGUGACACUUCAGUCGGAUCUGUCUAUACCGCUGGUUUUCCAUCCGCACAUCAAAACAAAAGACAUUCACAGACACAGUGUGGGGUUUUCCUGAAACGCUCCCAACUCCUAGGGCGUCCGCAACAGGCAUCGAGGGCAUCUGGCAGAGCAGUCAGUCAGUCGACGUCGAAAAUGGUGUUAACCGGUUCCAUUAUGGCAUUAUGUUUAUCAGCCGUAAAAAAGAUGAUUUUGAUUGUGCGACACAACAAAAAACAACAACAACGAGAAUGAGACGCAGGCAAUGAUCGGCCACCCCAUCGCGGGGUGGCAUUUGGAAGUCGUUUGUGAGUGCGUUUCAGUCAGUACCCUAGCGCAGGCAGCUCUGGUGAUGAUCACGAUCACCAGAUGGAUGAAGGAUGACGAAGGUCUUGCCCAAAGAUGUCAACAAAUUAGCUGCUCGUGCUGCCCCCGUUUGAAGUUUUGGACUUUUUUUUCAACGGAAGACUGGUUGCGGACGUCUUGUUUAGGGCAGCAAGAAGGAAGUGAGUGAGUCGGCGGAGAACCACACGAAGAAGGUGCAAUUCGUUAUGAGUCAGUAAUUUUGGUAGCCGAGGCGCGUCAUGUGUCGGUGGAGUUGGCAGAAGCCGUCUUGAAAGAUGUGCCCGGAUGUGGAUGCGGAGUUCCUUGAACAUUGCGGCAGUUGCGGUGAGACGAAUCAAGCGUACAUCAUUCGUCGGAAGUCAUCAUGAGCAAGACGAUCGUAAUGUGGAUCGUACGUGGCAGUAGGUCCUGUUGCAUGCAAACCAAACCAACAGUGCCAUCCAGUCUGGUCUGGGAGGGACUGGCAGGUCACCAUGGUUCGAAAGCGUGCCAGGAUGAAGGGUAGACAACAUGUUUCUUGGCAAAGUCAACUCUUUAAGGGGUUCGUUUGGCCGUUGAACGGUGCUUUCGCUUCUCGGGGUGCAUGGUCGUUUGGGGAGGUAACGAGCCUCCCCUCUCCGCGUUCUAGAAACAGGGAGCUAGGACUUGUGAACAAUGACGCCUAAAGAUCUUUCCUUUUUUGCCUUGCUUUUGCUCUUCAAGGAUCCAGACGGGUUGACCCGGGCGUGCUGGGUAGGGAGUACGCGACGUCUCGCAGCUCCGAACACAAUAGCUCCUGGAGUUCGACACAAAAAAGAGCCAAGAAGGGUGGCACUCUACGGGGGGAGCGGGGGGAAACGAGAACGAAACACCUGGACUCGGUCGGUGCUGCAGUUUUCGGGGUCGGUAUUCUUCAGCGCAAACGCAAAGGAACCCUCUGUUGCUACCAAGCUGUCGCGUUUAACGAUCCUGGACCAGGAAACAGAAGUGGGGAGGUUUUCCUUUGACGCUGCGUACCUAUACACACACACACACACACACACUGAACUGGCUUUUUUCUUUUCCUCAGCUAAAUUGCUUCCAUGCUGCUUUUGGCGUCGUCGUUCCACACAGGACGUCUAAGCAGUGGACCGACUUGCCGCAUGGUUUGAAUGGCGUUCCAUCACACAUGAUGGUUUUGGCACGGGCCGUGCGAGGUAAGCGGCGGGAGCAAGACGACGCCAAGCACAGGGAGGAUGCGUGCGACGGGCAGGCAGUCCGGGGGCACUCUCGCCCAGCAAAACAAGCACCGUCAGGGCACCGUUUCGCUCCGAAGAAGCCAAGGGACUUCCGAGCGCAAUUUUAGCAUCCUUUCGAUCGUUGCGAGUCGUUUACAUCGGACCUGCCGUACAAGGAAGAUCCCAGACUGAAAAAAAGGGAUUGGAGCACCGCAACAGCACGAACGAACGAGCAGCAAAAACCUGAAAUCUCUGCCCAUCACCUUGACUGGUGUUGGCAACGACCGUCUAAGCAACGGCGAACCCCUCGGGAUCGGGUCGUCACGGCUGACUUUGGUUUAAUCGUUUCGCUAAAAGACGCUGGCGCUACAUCCGCCAUGAUGCCGCAAGGAUGAUGAAGUUCUUUUCGGUGCUGUUGGCUGGUGAGCAGCUUAUCCUCCGCACGCAUCCAUUUAUCGAUCCGUGUGGAUCACACGGCUGUGCGGCCUCGCAACGCUACUAACUAACGACCUUAAUGGGCCAGCGCACGGCCCGGUUCGAUCCGUUCUAACAACUUAAUUGUUCGCCGCCUCCAUCGUUGCGUUUGGAGGGAGGGAGGGGGCUGCCACGAUAGAGGUGUGGAGGGAAUGGAAUGUUCGAUUGUCUCUCCAAGGUACAAAGUACUUGAAAUGAAUGACUCUCUGUGGGCUGAGCGUUUGGGUACAGCGUUUAACAUCCUUUACUCUCGUAUUGUGCGUACGUUUUUACGUACGAAGAGGCACCCCGGUGGAUGGAGGCUCGGGUUCAGUUUGGAGGAAAAUAUUUGAAGAAAUUAUUUACCUGCUAAUUCCCAAAUCCUGUCCAGCAACAGCACCCCUGGGCUCUCAAGCACCAUUCUCGGUGACUUCACAGUAAGUACCCAGCGGAUCGGAAUUCAACGGUCUUGUCUUUGGCAGCGUCCCACGAUGCUAAACGAUGUUGUUUGAACGGUUGGCGGAAAAACAAACGUUUGCCUUCCGUGAAGGCGGACGGAUGUGCUCUAGACAGGGUGAUCUCGCUCGCUCACACAGCCUGUGGCUCUUCAACCAUUCGGGUGUCCCAGUGCCGAAAAAAGGACCUUUUCCAUUGGUGGCUCAGGUGGCGGCUACUUCGAACCUCUGAUUAAGCUCUUUCGGAGGUUUUAAUGAUGGAAGAAAUAAAUCAACCCCAGAGCUGCUGCCGACACCGCUAGGAAGACUGCAAGGAUUCCUGUCGGCACACAACCUGCUCACUCACCGUUCCAGGAAGAUCGAUCUGAUCUUUGGUGUGGAAUCUUCCACUACACCGUUAGUGUGUGAAGAUGAGUGUCGAGAUGUACAUUAAUAUUUUCCCUUUUUUAUUUUCAAUUUUUCAAAAGGACUCAAUCGAAACAAUAAAAGGCCCCCUUUGCUUGUUGUCUCCCGUUCGCCCAUAAAAAGCAUCCUUUCACUGGAGCUAUAAAAACGCUUAUCUAGUGUGCCGAGAUACGGUUACCUUGGCAAAUAGAUCGAGUCGGAUUGCGUUGGAAUGUGCAACACACACACCUCGGGGCCUUUGGCUUUCCCCCUUGCCGCAGGAUCAUCAGGAUCCUCUGUCCAAGCGGUCCAAGUAUCCUUUUCCUUGGGAGUUUUUUUUCUCACAACCAUCCUAACAAUGCGUAUGAGUGUUUGUGUGUGUGUGUGUGUGUGACGAGUAGACUGAUCUUAAGGCCCACCCCAGCGAUAGGCGAAAGGUGUCAAUUUAAAAUCGUGAUACUCGCUUUCCGCUCGCUGAUUAAAGGCCGCUUUAGCGGCCAGCAUAGAGCAUAGGGUAGAGGAGAAGGCAAAUUGAAAAAAGAGAGAGAGGAAACCCCGUGUUUGGUGAAUAAAUAAACAGCCGUGGCAGAGGAGAGCAAAAACGCCUAAGAAACAAGCAAGCAAAACUGGCUGGGAAAGAAGUAAAAAUAACAAUCUUCACAUUAGGACAUUCGCCGACGCAGGGCCAGAGAACGCCGUGCAUUCUUGCUCGCUUGGCCCGCUGCAAACGAGAAGCUUGUUUGGGACGGGCCCCGGGUUCUCUGUUUGCUCAUCCUGCAAGGGGCUGCAAUUCUGUGCUUGGUUCGUUUGGAGGUGGAACAACAUUAAAUCAGGUAUCCCUUGAAGCGGCGGAAGAAGUGGAUAGCCACGGAAAUGUACCGAAAAUUAUUUGCUUUUCUAAUCGCGGACCACCACCGCCGCCGUACCUUCUGACGUGACCAGCAGCAAGGUUCGUCUGGGGCGCAGAAGGUGUUGACGGUACAGGAAUGCUGUGGAGCGAAGAAGUGCACACGAGGUAACAAGCGUAGUCCCAAAAUGUGCCCAAUUUCGCCCAGAAAACCCACACGAGACACGAGAUUUAAUAAAACUGCAAAAGCGAAAAGGUUAUCGCUUGCGCAAACACAGAACCAGACUUACUAAACCCAAGAUCAGGCAUGGGCUAUUCGGUAUAUCUGGAGCAGU